UACGUAGGUGGCAAGCGUUAUCCGGAAUUACUGGGCGUAAAGCGCACGCAGGCGGUCUCUUAAGUUUGACGUGAAAGCUCCCGGCUUAACUGGGGAGAGGUCGUUGAAUACUGGGAGACUUGAGGCAAUGAGAGGGGUGUAGAAUUCCCGGUGUAGUGGUGGAAUGCGUAGAUAUCGGGGGGAAUACCAGUGGCGAAAGCGGCACCCUAGCGUUAGCCUGACGCUCAUGUGCGAAAGCGUGGGGAGCGAACGGG
rnacentral:rRNA from 1 species